GAUGAACGCUGGCGGCGUGCCUAAUACAUGCAAGUCGAGCGAACAGACGAGGAGCUUGCUCCUCUGACGUUAGCGGCGGACGGGUGAGUAACACGUGGAUAACCUACCUAUAAGACUGGGAUAACUUCGGGAAACCGGAGCUACUACCGGAUAAUAUAUUGAACCGCAUGGUUCAAUAGUGAAAGACGGUUUUGCUGUCACUUAUAGAUGGAUCCGCGCCGCAUUAGCUAGUUGGUAAGGUAACGGCUUACCAAGGCUACGAUGCGUAGCCGACCUGAGAGGGUGAUCGGCCACACUGGAACUGAGACACGGCCCAGACUCCUACGGGAGGCAGCAGUAGGGAAUCUUCCGCAAUGGGCGAAAGCCUGACGGAGCAACGCCGCGUGAGUGAUGAAGGUCUUCGGAUCGUAAAACUCUGUUAUUAGGAAAGAACAAAUGUGGAAGUAACUAUGCACGUCUUGACGGUACCUAAACAGAAAGCCACGGCUAACUACGUG
rnacentral:rRNA from 1 species